UACAGAGGGGGCAAGCGUUAUUCGGAAUUAUUGGGCGUAAAGGGCGCGUAGGCGGCCUGGCAAGUGGAAGGUGAAAUCCCUCGGCUUAACCGAGGAACUGCCUCCCAAACUGCUUGGCUUGAGACCAGGAGAGGUGAGUGGAAUUCCCAGUGUAGCGGUGAAAUGCGUAGAUAUUGGGAGGAACACCAGUGGCGAAGGCGGCUCACUGGACUGGUACUGACGCUGAGGCGCGAAAGCGUGGGAAGCAAACGGG
rnacentral:rRNA from 1 species